ensembl:snoRNA SNORD42 Small nucleolar RNA SNORD42
GUGCAAAUGAUGUAAAUUUCGAUUCUACUGAGCAGUGUGAUGUUUCCAAAGGAACCACUGAUGCAC